rnacentral:tRNA from 1 species
GCCACCCUAGCUCAGCUGGUAGAGCAGCUCACUCGUAAUGAGCAGGUCGUCGGUUCAAAUCCGAUGGGUGGCUCCA